GGUGGUCGAAAAACUCCCCGGUGCGGCGGCGGGUGGCGGCGGCCGACUCCUCCGGCAUCUGGUUCGUCUUCUCCGACGAGGGCAGGCGGCUAGGGUUUUUGUGGUCAGGUGUGAGGGUUUUAUUUAUACCCUUUUGCCUUUUAAUCACAGCUGUCCAUUUUGAUUAAAUCUGGGUCGUUCGUACUUGAUUGAAUCUGGGCCGUCUGUGCGCGUGGAGACGCAUCUGGGCCGUCCGAUCGCGCGCACGCGGAUCGCCCAC
rnacentral:lncRNA from 1 species